ACCUGGGUGGCUCAGAUGGUUGAGCGUCUGACUUUGACUCAGGUCAUGAUCUCAAGGUUCACAAGUUCAAGCCCCGUGUCAGGUU
rnacentral:tRNA from 1 species